GCUUCUCAGCUGUUCACCUGUCCAUGAUGUUAUUAGUGACUUAACACUCCCUUAAUGUCGACUUUUCACCCGAUAAUCACGAGGAAGGCUGCAUUAAACACUAACAUGAAUUUAAUUAUCAACGGAAUCUUUGAGAUGUUCAGUUUCCGCUGAAGUCCGUCAUUAAUUCUUGGCUAGCUGUUUGCUAUCAAGCUCUUCCAGUCGAGAAUCAUCAUGUGGUCAUGGAUUUUAGCCAGGACUGAGACAGAGAGUUCACUGCAGUUGGAGAGUAAACUCAGAAGGAAGUGAAGAUGACCCUGUGGUUGAGUGGCUGUGUCGCACGGUAGUUGUCCUGCAGCAGCAUCUUCUCGUGGUCUUCAGCUCUGCUGGCGUAAAGUAUCGUCUCUAACUUCAGCAGCUGGAGUGGAUAGACGAAAGACCGUUGAUGGUGUGUUCACUGCUGCCGUGGUCCGGGCCGCCGUUGCCCCAGUGGAGGUGCAUUUGUACAGCUGUAAAGAGCCAGGGCAGCCCCCCCAGUCCCAUCCACUCUG